CGGACGGGUGAGUAACGCGUGGGUAACCUGCCUUAUACAGGGGGAUAACAGUCAGAAAUGGCUGCUAAUACCGCAUAAGCGCACAGAGCUGCAUGGCUCAGUGUGAAAAACUCCGGUGGUAUAAGAUGGACCCGCGUUGGAUUAGCUAGUUGGUGGGGUAACGGCCCACCAAGGCGACGAUCCAUAGCCGGCCUGAGAGGGUGAACGGCCACAUUGGGACUGAGACACGGCCCAGACUCCUACGGGAGGCAGCAUG
rnacentral:rRNA from 1 species